rnacentral:sRNA from 1 species
AUGUCAGUGCGCACAGCACACCGCGAGAGAGAUACACAUUUUCAAGGUCUCCGCUACGUCACAGUAUACACACCAACACAGGCUUGUGUAAAACCUAUCUCUCCGCUGCAUAAUAAGUUACCGUAUGGCUGACUGAUUACUGGAAUGAAGACAACUAUUCAAGGCUUUUUAAAGACUACAAGUUUUGUGUGUAGAAUGGCUCGCCACAUAGCCAGACUUAACUCUGUCCAUUAUUUAUAAGAGGAUUAGCAGUUGUUAAAAUACUUCUGCCUUGACAAUGUGCAUAAAAUUACCACAGCAUGGUAAAAAAAAAUAAAGCUAGCUGCUUUUAAACAGAAAAGAAAGAAAAAAGAUCCAAAUUCUGCAUAGUAGAAAAUCAAAUAAAUAAAACUGCCCGAGUUUUUUUGCCUGCUUGAUAAAACAUGCAAUGAGCCAUUUACAAGGGACUUGCCAUCUGAUUAUAAGUACAUGUGAAUUACUGGUAAAUUGAACCAU